CAGUAGCCGCGGGAAUACGAAGGGGGCUAGCGUUGCUCGGAAUUACUGGGCGUAAAGGGAGCGUAGGCGGAUGUUUAAGUCAGAGGUGAAAGCCCAGGGCUCAACCUUGGAACUGCCUUUGAUACUGGACAUCUUGAGUGUGGGAGAGGUAAGCGGAACUCCGAGUGUAGAGGUGAAAUUCGUAGAUAUUCGGAAGAACACCAGUGGCGAAGGCGGCUUACUGGCCCAUUACUGACGCUGAGGAGCGAAAGCGUGGGGAGCGAACAGGAUUAGAUACCCCAGUAGUCCCUGUCUCUUAUAA
rnacentral:rRNA from 1 species